UACGAAGGGGGCUAGCGUUGUUCGGAAUUACUGGGCGUAAAGCGCGCGCAGGCGGUCUUCCAAGUCAGGGGUGAAAGCCCGGAGCUCAACUCCGGAACUGCCAUUGAAACUGUAAGACUUGAGGACGAGAGAGGUGAGUGGAAUUCCCAGUGUAGAGGUGAAAUUCGUAGAUAUUGGGAAGAACACCGGUGGCGAAGGCGGCUCACUGGCUCGUAUCUGACGCUCAGGCGCGACAGCGUGGGGAUCAAACAGG
rnacentral:rRNA from 1 species